GCGCCCGUAGCUCAAUCGGACAGAGUAUUGGGCUUCGAACCCAAGGGUUGCAGGUUCGAGUCCUGCCGGGCGCG
rnacentral:tRNA from 1 species